GAUGAACGCUGGCGGCGUGCCUAAUACAUGCAAGUCGAGCGAACGGACGAGAAGCUUGCUUUUCUGAUGUUAGCGGCGGACGGGUGAGUAACACGUGGAUAACCUACCUAUAAGACUGGGAUAACUUCGGGAAACCGGAGCUAAUACCGGAUAAUAUUUUGAACCGCAUGGUUCAAAAGUGAAAGACGGUCUUGCUGUCACUUAUAGAUGGAUCCGCGCUGCAUUAGCUAGUUGGUAAGGUAACGGCUUACCAAGGCAACGAUGCAUAGCCGACCUGAGAGGGUGAUCGGCCACACUGGAACUGAGACACGGUCCAGACUCCUACGGGAGGCAGCAGUAGGGAAUCUUCCGCAAUGGGCGAAAGCCUGACGGAGCAACGCCGCGUGAGUGAUGAAGGUCUUCGGAUCGGAAAACUCUGUUAUUAGGGAAGAACAUAUGUGUAAGUAACUGUGCACAUCUUGACGGUACCUAAUCAGAAAGCCACGGCUAACUACG
rnacentral:rRNA from 1 species